ACGAACUAGCAUACUGAACUGGCUCAGUCGCGAGUGACACACCUGAUUGCCAAUCAUUCACACCUGUUAGAUGGAAAGCCAGGAAAACACGGAUAAACUUCGUUUCUUUGACCUUCUGGAUUCGAAGUUCCACUUUACACAUCGUAGGGCAAAUACUUAAAGAGCACCUGGUGCAAGUGGAGCUGGAAAUCCUUAUUGAUUACUGCUCUGUGGAAGUGGUCUCAGGCUGUAUGGCUUCCUUGCCAUAUCCUCUCCAGGACCGCAAGCGGGCAGCAAAAGUAGAGAGACAAUGUCAACAGGAAGUCUAUGUAGGUGAAACAUCUGUCAGGACAGGAUCUCUUCCAAUUCUUUGGAGGAGUGGAAUCAGAUGGGCCUUGCAUGCUCAGAUCCAGAAGUGAGGAAUUUGUAACGUAUUUCCAUGGAGUCAAGAAGUGGGGAAAUGGCACGAGCAGGUGGUGCCUCACACUCCCUCCUCCCCACGCUGCAGACAGAUGUGUCUGACAGCAAACAUCCCCCAAUCCUCUUGUCCUCUCCUGGGGUUCUUGUUCACUGUGUUGCACUCUUGUCUGGGAAAAAAAAGACAAGCAAGCAAAUAAAGACUUCUCACAAACUGUCCUUAAAA